rnacentral:rRNA from 1 species
AUUGAACGCUGGCGGCAGGCCUAACACAUGCAAGUCGAACGGUAGCACAGAGAGCUUGCUCUCGGGUGACGAGUGGCGGACGGGUGAGUAAUGUCUGGGAAACUGCCCGAUGGAGGGGGAUAACUACUGGAAACGGUAGCUAAUACCGCAUAACGUCGCAAGACCAAAGUGGGGGACCUUCGGGCCUCACACCAUCGGAUGUGCCCAGAUGGGAUUAGCUAGUAGGUGGGGUAAUGGCUCACCUAGGCGACGAUCCCUAGCUGGUCUGAGAGGAUGACCAGCCACACUGGAACUGAGACACGGUCCAGACUCCUACGGGAAGCAGCAGUGGGGAAUAUUGCACAAGUGGCGCAAGCCUGAUGCAGCCAUGCCGCGUGUAUGAAGAAGGCCUUCGGGUUGUAAAGUACUUUCAGCGGGGAGGAAGGCGGUGAAGUUAAUAACUUCACCGAUUGACGUUACCCGCAGAAGAAGCACCGGCUAACUCCGUGCCAGCCGCCGCCGUAA